rnacentral:rRNA from 1 species
UACGUAGGAGGCAAGCGUUGUCCGGAGUUACUGGGCGUAAAGCGCACGCAGGCGGUUCAGUCAGUCUGUAGGGACAGGGCACAGCUCAACUGUGUCAGGCUUACGGAAACUGCUGAACUCGAGGGCUUCAGAGGGAUGGGGAAUUCCGGGUGGAGUGGUGAAAUGCGUAGAGAUCCGGAAGAACACCAAAGGCGAAGGCACCAUCCUGGGGAGUCACUGACGCUCGGGUGCGAAAGCUAGGGGAGCGAACGGG